UACAGAGGUCUCAAGCGUUGUUCGGAUUCAUUGGGCGUAAAGGGUGCGUAGGCGGCGGCGUAAGUCGGAUGUGAAAUCCCAGGGCUCAACCCUGGAACUGCAUUCGAUACUGCGUCGCUGGAGGACUGGAGAGGAGACUGGAAUUCACGGUGUAGCAGUGAAAUGCGUAGAUAUCGUGAGGAAGGCCAGUGGCGAAGGUGAGUCUCUGGACAGUUCCUGACGCUGAGGCACGAAGGCCAGGGGAGCAAACGGG
rnacentral:rRNA from 1 species